rnacentral:rRNA from 2 species
GGACUACCAGGGUAUCUAAUCCUGUUUGCUCCCCACGCUUUCGUGCCUCAGCGUCAGUUCAGGCCCAGGCGGUUGCCUUCGCCAUUGGUGUUCUUCCAGAUAUCUACGCAUUUCACCGCUACACCUGGAGUUCCACCGCCCUCUACCGAACUCGAGUCGGGCAGUAUCGAAUGGCAUUCCCAGGUUAAGCCCAGGGCUUUCACAUCCGACUUACCCAACCGCCUACGCACGCUUUACGCCCAGUAAAUCCGAUUAACGCUAGCACCCUCUGUAUUACCGCGGCUGCUGGCAC